AACGAACGCUGGCGGCAGGCCUAACACAUGCAAGUCGAGCGCGCCCUUCGGGGUGAGCGGCGGACGGGUGAGUAACGCGUGGGAACGUGCCCUUUUCUACGGAAUAGCCUCGGGAAACUGAGAGUAAUACCGUAUACGCCCUUUGGGGGAAAGAUUUAUCGGAAAAGGAUCGGCCCGCGCUGGAUUAGGUAGUUGGUGGGGUAAUGGCCUACCAAGCCGACGAUCCAUAGCUGGUUUGAGAGGAUGAUCAGCCACACUGGGACUGAGACACGGCCCAGACUCCUACGGGAGGCAGCAGUGGGGAAUCUUAGACUAUGGGGGCAACCCUGAUCUAGCCAUGCCGCGUGAGUGAUGAAGGCCUUAGGGUUGUAAAGCUCUUUCAGCUGGGAAGAUAAUGACGGUACCAGCAGAAGAAGCCCCGGCUAACUCCGUG
rnacentral:rRNA from 1 species